rnacentral:rRNA from 1 species
UACGAGAGGCCCAAACGUUAAUCGGAAUUACUGGGCGUAAAGCGUGCGCAGGCGGCUCCUUAAGUCAGAUGUGAAAUCCCCGGGCUUAACCUGGGAACUGCGUUUGAAACUGGGGAGCUAGAGUGUAGAAGAGGGGGGUGGAAUUCCAGGUGUAGCAGUGAAAUGCGUAGAGAUCUGGAGGAACACCGAUGGCGAAGGCAGCCCCCUGGGCUAACACUGACGCUCAUGCACGAAAGCGUGGGGAGCAAACAGG